rnacentral:rRNA from 1 species
CCUACGGGAGGCAGCAGUGAGGAAUAUUGGUCAAUGGGCGUAAGCCUGAACCAGCCAAGUCGCGUGAGGGAUGAAGGUUCUAUGGAUCGUAAACCUCUUUUAUAAGGGGAUAAAGUGCGGGACGUGUCCCGUUUUGUAUGUACCUUAUGAAUAAGGAUCGGCUAACUCCGUGCCAGCAGCCGCGGUAAUACGGAGGAUCCGAGGGUUAUCCGGAUUUAUUGGGUUUAAAGGGUGCGUAGGCGGCCUUAUAAGUCAGCGGUGAAAGUCUGUGGGUCAACCAUAGAUUUGCCGUUGAAACUGGGAGGCUGGAGUGUGUUUGAGGCAGGCGGAAUGCGUGGUGUAGCGGUGAAAUGCUUAGAUAUCACGCAGAACCCCGAUUGCGAAGGCAGCUUGCCAAGCCAUGACUGACGCUGAGGCACGAAAGCGUGGGGAUCAAACAGGAUUAGAUACCCUGGUAGUC